GUAACGGCCCACCAAGGCGACGAUCAGUAGCCGACCUGAGAGGGUGGCCGGCCACAUUGGGACUGAGACACGGCCCAAACUCCUACGGGAGGCAGCAGUGGGGAAUAUUGCACAAUGGGGGAAACCCUGAUGCAGCAACGCCGCGUGAGUGAAGAAGUAUUUCGGUAUGUAAAGCUCUAUCAGCAGGGAAGAAGAAAGACGGUACCUGACUAAGAAGCCCCGGCUAACUACGUGCCAGCAGCCGCGGUAAUACGUAGGGGGCAAGCGUUAUCCGGAUUUACUGGGUGUAAAGGGAGCGUAGACGGCUGUGCAAGUCUGAAGUGAAAGCCCGUGGCUCAACCGCGGAACUGCUUUGGAAACUGUAUAGCUUGAGUACUGGAGAGGCAGGCGGAAUUCCUAGUGUAGCGGUGAAAUGCGUAGAUAUUAGGAGGAACACCAGUGGCGAAGGCGGCCUGCUGGACAGAAACUGACGUUGGGGCUCGAAAGCGUGGGGAGCAAACAGGAUUAGAUACCCUGGUAGUCCACGCGGUAAACGAUGAAUGCUAGGUGUUGGGGAGCAAAGCUCUUCG
rnacentral:rRNA from 1 species